GGGUGGUUAGCUCAGUGGAAGAGCACUUGGUUUACACCCAAGGUGUCACAGGUUCGAACCCUGUACCGCCCA
rnacentral:tRNA from 1 species